ACAGUCGGUGAGGAUAUAGAGGAUCGUGUCAAGUCUGCUUUCACGGCUCUUGGAUUGUCACUAAAGUACUUGGACGGAAGUAUGUUCGGUAUGGCGAGAUGUUUGCUGUUUUCACAAAAUCCAGUAAUCAGACAAGGUGCCAUGAUCCUGUGGAAAGAUGCCAGUGAUGAAACAACUGAAAGUUUAAUGGUGACAGAAGUUCUGAAACAUCUACAGCCAAUCAGCACCAACCACUUGCACAAACAACCAACCAACCAUUCCACAAGCAGUGCAAGUUGGAAAGUAGCUUCUACUCGAAUUGGUUCAGACAAAAUCAUGCUCCACAUCAAUUUACCUUCAGAGGAAGUCCUUGUGAAACAUAACAGGAGUCCAUUCAAGUCAUCAGAUAGUGGCCACCUCACUUCUGUCGAAGCUCUGAGAGAUCUGUCUACACACCCGCAUAUUUUGUCUAUGUAGGCAUAUCGAAUCGACCAGUUCCCUGUGUUCUACAUCACUGAGGAUUACAGUCAACAGAACUUCCAAAAGGUGCUUUAUUAUAGUGCAAAGAGCAAGGCCUGGUUUCAACCUCUUGAGCUCAUGCAGUUUCUUAUACAAGCUCUGGAAGCAGUUAUCGCCCUUCAUGAACAUGGCGUUAUACAAAGAGAUCUUACAGCUGCCAGUUUUGCAUACAACAAGGAAAGCAAGACUGUCAAGCUGUGCCGCUUCAUGUUGGCGCGAAAAUGUAGGCGAGAAGAAACUGUUGUUGACAGAGAAUGUUCGUCCAUUCCCAUGAGAUGGUCUGCCCCAGAGUCUCUCAAGCAACACCAUUUCUCUAUGCGGUCUGAUUACUGGAU